GGCAGAUAAGCUGAGUCAAGCAUCAAGAAAUCAACUAAUUUUAGUGCCACAUAAUGUUGGUUAUCAUUGGAUUCUCACUGUCAUUGAUCCAUAUAAGGAGACAGUUUAUUUGUUAGAUUCGCUUAGUCAUCGCAUUCGUGACGAGGACUGGAAAUACGUAGUGGAUAUGAGCAUAAGAUUGUUUAAUUCAAACAAGGAAAAAAAAGGG